UACAGAGGGGGCAAGCGUUGUUCGGAAUUACUGGGCGUAAAGGGCGCGUAGGCGGCCGCCUAAGUCAGACGUGAAAUCCCUCGGCUCAACCGGGGAACUGCGUCUGAUACUGGGUGGCUUGAAUCCGGGAGAGGGAUGCGGAAUUCCAGGUGUAGCGGUGAAAUGCGUAGAUAUCGGCAGGAACACCCAGGGGGAAACCAGCCGACUGGGCAUAGGCUGACGCUGAGGUGCGAGAGCGUGGGGAGCGAACCGG
rnacentral:rRNA from 1 species